GGAACCCACAGCCUUGGGGGACCCGGGACCGAGCCGCGGCGAGUCCCGGCGGAGGCGGGGUUCUGAGACCCUGGCCGGGUGGGGACCUCCUGGGGGCCCCGGCAGACAGGUAACAGGAGCAGCGGAGCAAGCGGGAGCGAGCAGUCACAGUUGAUCCUUCAGCUUAUUGGAGUCCUUGGCCUCUGGUGCUGGUGAGAACUGAGGCAGAGCAUUGGAGCGGAGGAGGCACCCCCUGCUGUCUGGUUAGGGUUCCUCAAUGUGGAGAAACAUCUUAGAGCAACAUCUCACUGGAGCCCUGAGGGCUCCCCACAGCAAAGUAAAGGGCUCUCGCUGACUUGGGGGUCUGCACUGGCUGACAGAAGGCCCUGGAGAGUGAGAAUGAAAGGGAUUUUCUGAAAAGUUCUUAGCAGAUACGAGCAGACUGUUGGCCUCCCCAAGGAGCACAGAAGGGGGCCUGGUGGGCCCAGAAGACAGGUUUGGAGAGGAAUGGGUGCAGGCGACGGCUCUUGGUGCUGACUUGCUUCACCUGCGCUGCUCACACUCACUG